rnacentral:lncRNA from 13 species
GUGUGUAACUCUGGCCAUCUUGAUAAAGUUUUCACACUAGCACAGAAGUUAGAAACCCAGUACAGACAACAGUACUGAGGUCAAUAUCAGUAGAUUUUCUCAAAACACGUCUAAUUAGGAGUGGUAGAAAUGGCUUUCAGGGGUAAUGGGCUAUACAUUCCAUGAUUCUAAUUGUGCAAUAAUGCCAGAGUUGUGUUAGUAUUGAAGAGUUUUUGCAAGAACAGGCGAUUGUGAAUAACUCUAUGAUCUACAUUUUAACUGUGUAGAUAUUACUUGGGAGUAAUGCUCAUGAAUUAGUCGUUGUGCAGUUAUUGUAUAAAAUUUUGUAUUCCUUGCAUGAAGCUCACUAAUUAAUCAUCUUUUGCUCUAAUAAUUUCAUGUCACCUACACCAAAAAAGUUUUACUAGAAACAUCACUUCCAUCUAUACAACACAGGACAAGAGUUCUCUCUUUAUUGCCAAAAGGCUAUACAAAGGGAAAAAACAUAGGAAGUGUUAUGAACAGAUCAGAGAAAAGGCCAGCAGUCCCUCCUAACCCCAAAUGUCUCAGACCUUGUGAUUGUGUUCUGGACUUUAAAUAUUUCAAUAUAACUUUUUAAAAAGUGACUGCAGUCUUACAUAUUUCUUUGGCUUUCACUAGAUUCCAGCAUAUGCCAAAUAACUCAGCACUUUAUUUCCACCACAAAGCAACCUAAAAUAUGAGCUUAUUUUUAUCUCACAAAACUGCCAAAGAUGCUUUGAAGCAUUCGUCUUGUAACCAUGACUGACCCUUUUUUUCAAUUAUGUCAUAAGAAAAACUUCUGAGAGCACUUAAAAACGUCUUCAGACUUUUUAGAUGCUCUUUUCACCUACAAGAUGCAGCCAGGAACAGUCUCCCAGUCUCAGUGUGUGUCAGUAGUUUUAUUUUGCAUUAAGACUUUUCAUCAGUCAAUCAGUCUGGUGACCAGCUAACCUUCAUCCUGGGGAAACCACUGGCGGUGGCAGGGACUGGCUGCAGGAGAAGCACGUUUGUGGGUGAGGGUCGGGCUGGGCAGCUCUUUGCAGAGGAGAGUUCCUAUGGAAUAUAUGCAUCACAGCUACUUAAAAGUUGGACAGUAAGAGCAGAAAUGUCAACUAAAGGACAUUAUUCAGCACGAAACAUCUGCACCAAGUUGUGGAAUCAUGCAGAUGGUGUUCAAACAAAUCAAGAAGCUGAAGCUAAAAAACCACCCUGAUGGAGAAACUCAU